UACGUAGGGGGCAAGCGUUGUCCGGAUUUACUGGGCGUAAAGAGCGUGUAGGCGGCCAGGUAGGUCGGUUGUGAAAACUGGAGGCUCAACCUUCAGAGGUCGACCGAAACCAUCUGGCUAGAGUCCGGGAGAGGAGAGUGGAAUUCCUGGUGUAGCGGUGAAAUGCGCAGAUAUCAGGAGGAACACCGGUGGCGAAGGCGGUUCUCUGGGCAUGAUCUGACGCUGAGGAGCGAAAGUGUGGGGAGCGAACAGG
rnacentral:rRNA from 1 species